GAUGAACGCUGGCGGCGUGCUUAACACAUGCAAGUCGAACGAUGAAGCCCAGCUUGCUGGGUGGAUUAGUGGCGAACGGGUGAGUAACACGUGAGUAACCUGCCCUUAACUCUGGGAUAAGCCUGGGAAACUGGGUCUAAUACCGGAUAGGAGCGUCCACCGCAUGGUGGGUGUUGGAAAGAUUUAUCGGUUUUGGAUGGACUCGCGGCCUAUCAGCUUGUUGGUGAGGUAAUGGCUCACCAAGGCGACGACGGGUAGCCGGCCUGAGAGGGUGACCGGCCACACUGGGACUGAGACACGGCCCAGACUCCUACGGGAGGCAGCAGUGGGGAAUAUUGCACAAUGGGCGCAAGCCUGAUGCAGCGACGCCGCGUGAGGGAUGACGGCCUUCGGGUUGUAAACCUCUUCAGUAGGGAAGAAGCGAAAGUGACGGUACCUGCAGAAGAAGCACCGGCUAACUACGUG
rnacentral:rRNA from 1 species